rnacentral:lncRNA from 1 species
UGCAGUUUCAAUUGUUGUGGGACUCAGGUUUUCUCUCAACACCGCAUACACACUUGGAGACAUGGGAAGAAGGUCUGAUGGAGAAUGUGGCUCUGUUGAAUCACUUCGGCUUAAAGAGAUAACAAGAGGGCAUGAAGUCAGGUGGCUGCAAGUCUGUGAGUGACAACUGUAGGAUAUUCUACAUGAUGGUGCCCAAAGAUUUAGUGCUAUAGAUGAAGAUUUUUAUGGAUUGUAUACACUUUCAUUAAAGAAACAGAAUGGUGAACGUA